UAGUCUGCAACCCGACUACAUGAAGCUGGAAUCGCUAGUAAUCGCGAAUCAGAAUGUCGCGGUGAAUACGUUCCCGGGUCUUGUACACACCGCCCGUCACACCAUGGGAGUCGGAAAUGCCCGAAGUCAGUGACCCAACCGCAAGGAGGGAGCUGCCGAAGGUGGAGCCGGUAACUGGGGUGAAGUCGUAACAAGGUAGC
rnacentral:rRNA from 1 species